rnacentral:rRNA from 1 species
UGGGGAAUUUUGGACAAUGGGCGCAAGCCUGAUCCAGCCAUGCCGCGUGCAGGAUGAAGGCCUUCGGGUUGUAAACUGCUUUUGUACGGAGCGAAAAGGUCUGUCCUAAUACGGUGGGCUCAUGACGGUACCGUAAGAAUAAGCACCGGCUAACUACGUGCCAGCAGCCGCGGUAAUACGUAGGGUGCAAGCGUUAAUCGGAAUUACUGGGCGUAAAGCGUGCGCAGGCGGUUAUGCAAGACAGAGGUGAAAUCCCCGGGCUCAACCGGGGAACUGCCUUUGUGACUGCAUAGCUAGAGUACGGUAGAGGGGGAUGGAAUUCCGCGUGUAGCAGUGAAAUGCGUAGAUAUGCGGAGGAACAACGAUGGCGAAGGCAAUCCCCUGGACCUGUACUGACGCUCGUGCACGAAAGCGUGGGGAGCAAAC